GAAACAUUGCUUCAUCCAUGUGCUGAAAAUAGUAUUGUUCAUGAUUAAACAGGCGCUGUGGAACACUGUGAAAAGAAAAGCCUGUUCUUGAUUACUAUUUUCUGCCAUUUGAAUGCAGGUAAAUGUGUUACUUUACACAAGUCACACGCUCUUUCUGUUCGGAUCCCGUGGGAGAAGGCGCUGUGGAACACUGUGAAAAGAAAAGCCUGUUCUUGAUUACUAUUUUCUGCCAUUUGAAUGCAGGAUCAUUAAAAGUGAUUUCCAAUCA